CAACAGCGCGAAAGGAGGUGAUCCGAUGUCUCAUGGUUCAGCAGAGAGGUCGGUACAGUCCCGCGCGAGGCAUUAUCGCUGAGUUUCGAUUAAGCGAUAAAGGCUUCGUGGGCGGCACUUCCGGCCGCUGACCAUGCGAAGGGCCGCUUCGGAUUGACCGACGCGGCCC
rnacentral:sRNA from 1 species